AAUAAAGUAUUUUUGUGUACUUUAAUAUUUUCGUAAAGUACAAAGUACAAUUGCCUGAAAUAACGUACAAUACUUUAUAACAAAG